GAGUUUGAUCCUGGCUCAGGAUUAACGCUAGCGGCAGGCCUAAUACAUGCAAGUCGAACGGUAACAGGCCCGCAAGGGUGCUGACGAGUGGCGCACGGGUGCGUAACACGUAUGCAAUCUUCCUUUAACUGGGGAACAACCCCUCGAAAGAGGGGCUAAUACCGCAUAAUUUCAUUCCGCGGCAUUGUGGAAUGAAAAAACCUACGGGGGUUAAAGAUGAGCAUGCGCUCGAUUAGCUAGUUGGCGGGGUAAUAGCCCACCAAGGCAACGAUCGAUAGGGGGUCUGAGAGGAUGAUCCCCCACACGGGUACUGAGACACGGACCCGACUCCUACGGGAGGCAGCAGUAAGGAAUAUUGGACAAUGGAGGCAACUCUGAUCCAGCCAUGCCGCGUGAAGGAUGAAGGCGCUAUGCGUUGUAAACUUCUUUUAUACGGGAAAAAUUCCCCCGAUUCUUCGGGGGUUGAUUGUACUGUAAGAAUAAGGGUCGGCCGACUUC
rnacentral:rRNA from 1 species